CUUUCAAAUGACCCUUUAUUAAGUAGUGGUGCCGCUCUUAUUAAAAUUAAAGGAGUAAUAAGAGUUGUUCACUACUUAUCAAAGAGAAAUUUGAGCUUU
rnacentral:pre_miRNA from 1 species